ensembl:snRNA U6 U6 spliceosomal RNA
GUGCUUGCUUUGGCAGUAUAUAUGCUAAAAUUGGAAUAAUACAGAGAAGAUUAGCAUGGCCUCUGCACAAGGAUGACACGCAAAUUCAUGAAGUGUUCCAUAUUCGU